GUUCUGAACAUCUCUGUUUGGCUCGCUGUGUCUUGCUUUCCCUGUGUGUCUCUCUCCAUCUCUGUCCCUCUCUCUUUCCCUCUCUCUCAGGACCCCCUGACCUGCUCUGUGUGACUCUGUCCAUCUGUGACCCACCCUCGGUACCACAGCACUAGCUGACAGACACUGAGAUUGUAGGCUGGAGAAGUUUUUCGGGUUCCAGGCAGGCCUCCUGGAGACUUCAGCCUGCAGGGAGUGCGGCUCCUUUUGCUUUAAUCUGGGGGGAAUCUGACAUUGGUUUCUUUGACCUCCUCUGCCUUUGAUCUUUAUCUUUGAAACCCUGUGUUGUUAGAAUGUGAUUGACUUCAGAUGUUCUCAUCCUCCCCAGAAAGCUGAGGGAACGCAGGGCAGUGGUCUGGCUGGGUGAUCCCCCAACAUCACACGGGCAAAGAUCCUUCAAGGGCUCUGGGCUUCAGGCUGGACACCUCCAGCAAGCUAAGUGAGAGGCUGUUCGUGAAGCCUGCAAGCUCUCAUACAGUGGAGGGCCAUGUGGUACAUGGGAACAUCCGGGGCAUCAGGAAACAGACCUUCCUGGGUUCUAACCCCAGCCCUGCCAUUGCUGCCUGAGUGACUCGGGACAGGUCACUGAAAUGGAGUGCAGCAGAAAGGAGAAGAGUCAGGAGUCAGAAGACCUGGAUUCAAAUUCUGCCUUUGUACUGGAUGAAAAACUGUAGACAGAUCCUCAUUGUCACCCAGAGCCUCACAUAUAAGGGCAAUAGACGGGAUGAUAAUCGCUAAACCAUGAGGUUGCUGUGAGAAUGAUAUAAACUAAUAUAUCAACAAUAAUAGUCCACAUUUCCCCUGCACUUACCAGUGUGCCAGGCACCCUUAAGGGCUUCACACAUGUUAUUUCAACCAUUACAACCUUUUAAGUAUCCCUACUUCUGUAGAUGUCCCUACUUCUAUAGAUGAGAAAACUAAGGCUCAGAGAGGUUAAGCAACGUGGCCAAGGGUCACACAGCUUGUACGUGGCAGAGCGUGAAUCUGAAUCCAAGUGGCGACUACUUCACUACUUUACUGGGCACAGGAUCCCAGCACAUCCAAGUUGGAAGAUACCUUAAAAGCACAACAGGUCCAACAUGCUGUUGACUGCUGAGGAGCCUGAGAGCCCCACUCCUCAGUUGUGUUACAAAUCAAGUCUCCUUUCACCCUGACCUGCAUCGUAACUUCCCAGAUGAUUCUCUGCAUCUGAAGGCCUUCACCAGCCACAUGGCAUCCACAGAGCGAGUAUGGUUCCCUUCAGAGGAGGGCAUCGAGACCCAAAGAAGCCAAAUAAUCUGCCCAGGACCACACAGCAAGUCUCAGGCUGAGCUGGGAGUCCAGCCUCCUCCUGCAGGCUCUUUGCUGCAAAGCCUUGUGUUACAUGUACUUGGUGGGGCUGGGGGCAUUUGAUGCUGGAGAGAGGGUAGUGUUUCUGAGACCUCUGUGUGUCUCUAAAAGCAUCUAGGUAUGACCCUUGAUGCCUGGUGAUCUAGAUUCUGAUGAGACAUGGGCAAUAGUUUCUCCUCCUCUCCCUGAGACCCAGCCCAAUGUGGAGCUUUGUAUCAAGUAUGGCUGCAUUCCUACUGUGCCCAUUCCAGUGCCAGCUACUGACUGGGUGGCCCAUGGAGUGGCUCACACUGCUGGUUGUCUACUCAAUAUUCAUUUAGAUUUUGGUAUCAAAGUGAUAUCAGCAUGCCCAGCCUCAAGUGAUGAAAUGUGAUGGGUCUAAAUCCAUCAUGGUAAUCUGUUUCCUCUUUGCCAGUGAUGGGCUUGUGAGUUGCUGAAUGAUACAGUUCCAACCAACAAGAUGGGAAGGAAGUAAAUGGGAACCUCCACGAAAGAUUUUCCUCCCAAAUGAAGACACACGUGAGAAAAGAGCCCUGGGCCCUCCCUCUCCCACUCCUCCUUCCUUCCUGCUGGUGAUGCUUUUAGGAAGGAUAUAAUGCCUGGAACCAGGGUGACUGCCUUGUGACCAUGGGGCAACACCUGCUGAAGAUGUCACAGCAGGAGGAUAGAGAGAGCCUGGGCCCUCGCUGGCAUUGUUGAGUUGCUGCACCAGCCUUGGAACCACCUGCCUUGUCAACAAAGAUCACAUAUAUAUAUAUAUAUAUGUACUGGUUAUGCCAUUAUCUGUUUGGUAUUAUGUUACUUGAAGCCAGCAUGUCCUAACCAAUAAAAGGGAUAAUAAA